AUUAUCAGAUGAUGAAACCUCGAAACAAUCUUAGGACACCUUCUGACACAGUGCUAUUACCCUGCGCAGCUGCGCUGUGAAUGAGAAGGCAAUUCUUAUCUGAUGAUGCU